UAAAAAAAAUACUUAAUUUGAUGUAAUAAUAUUAAUAAUAAUAAUAAAAUAUAAAAAAGAAAGAAAAUCAAUUUGCAUUUAUGACAAGUUAAUAUAAUUUACAUUCAAUUUUUAUUUAGAGUAAAUAAAAUACAAUAGUGCAUAUAUGAUAGCUUAAUAUGAUCUACAAUCAAUAUUUGUUUAGUCAAAAGCAGAUAGUAAAAAAUAUUUCAGGGUGUGUUUCGUUUCCCUCUAUGGGGACAUUUUUACGCUAACACCCUGAUUCAUUAGUUUAAAGUUUUAUUAGUGGUGUAGGACGGGUGACACUACCCUCUAGGGGUGUAUUCAGUAUUCUAUCCGAGGAUUAUAUUUGUUAGGCACAAUCUUCAACCCUCGGGCAGAUUGCACUCUGCGCGUGUAUGGAGCUAGCGUGCAGAUUGCCAACUUUGCACUGAUUACCCCUUGAUGUUUUUAGAGAUGUUGUAGUGUGUCAUAACGCAACUAUAUAUUAUAUUAUAUAUGACCUGCCUCCUAUGGUCUUUGUAGUGAGAAAUAAUUUACAAAAUCACUGCAUAAUUAGCGUGUGUGCUUAGAAAAUAAGAUUUUUAAUUCUAGUCAGCAGUAUCUCAUAAUCGGUGCUGACCACUGUGACUGAAUGUCAAAAAUAUUUGCUGUAGUGUAAUAGUUUGACCGAUCGUAGUUACUUUAGUAACAAAGUCUUAGAGACCCCUAUCCUAUAUGAAGAGAGAGCACUGGGGUUCUCUAAGACUUUGUUACUAAAGUAACUAGACCGAUCGCAGCUGUCAAUCAAAAUAAUAAAUCAACCAAUCAGAUCUAUAUGGUCUGACGUAAAUAAAGGUAUUUUCAGCAGACGUCAACCACCAACCUGUCAUAACUCAUCAUAAUGGUAAAGAGAUGUGCUUGGCGUACGUGUAAUUCGGACAGUCCGGAGAGACUGACGGAGGGUAACCUUUAUUCCUUUCCCAAAGCUUGGAAGAACACGUGAUACCAGACGAUGGAUAGGUUGAUGCAGACGACCAGUUAAACGAAGAGAUAGGUUUAGUAAUGGGUGAGCAGAGAAAAGCAAACAUCUUUUUGUGUGGACUAACUUACUAAGGUUAUUAUAUUGACUUUUUUGCCUACUCUUUUUUUCUAACAAAAUACACUCAACCAUUUUCAUCAUUAUUUUUCUUAUGUACCGGUAGGCCUUAUCUUAUAGGCUAAUAAAUGUGUCUGUUUUUACAAUGUGACAUUGAAAUGUCAGUAUUUCCUCUCAGACAUUUUAUAAAUUGAUUUAUUCAUUCGGUUAUUGCACCAGGGCAGAAGUGACAGUCAGUAGAAACAAUCUUUUUCAUAAAAUAAUUAAAAUAGUUGAUCUUCUUUGACUGUAACUCAUAUAUAGGACUAUACUACAGAACAGGUCUGCAGGCAUGGGCGCAGGACCCGACAAGGACAACUGUCUAGUCGUUUGGAUAGAAUGAAAAGAUCGAGGUCCUGUGUACACAAUGGUGUGCACGUAAAAGAUCCCUUGACAGUUGGAAAUCGAUAUAAGAGUAGGCCAUAGUGCCACUGUCCGGGCAUAGCACACUGUAUGGCAUAUACCCGUCUUCAUUAGCCCAGUUCAGAGCAGAACAGUAGGACGUUAAACCCCAUUUCAUUUCAUUUCGGGCAUGGGCCUUAAUUUCAAGUUUGAUUAAGACGUUAACAAAAAAAAAAAGAGAAGGCAGACAAAGCAAAUCAAGUUGCCAAUUAAAAACUAGCUAGUAAUUAUCUACGAGAAUGGAAUGGUCAUGUAAAUUUACUUAUAUUAUGUAUCAUAAUAAUAAUAUUCUUAUUAUUUUUUUCAUUUUUCAGCCAGAUCCCAUCGCUGCACUGCAUUAUGAUCAUAUUUAUUAACAAGACCACCACCAGUUCAAGUAUUUUUUUUGAGAAACCUGCAGUAGUUGAAUCAAAGGUUUUAAGAUAAACCGACUUGGACGAUUAGGUGGCAGAGAUGUCCUGUCCAUCGUUAACAACAUCAUGAAGAAUCUCAGUGUCACUUAUGUACAAUGCCGUUACAAUUGGACAGGAUAAAAAGGCAAGCAUGAAUUAGGGGCACAGGCUACAGCUACCAUUGUUUUUAAUCCAGUCAGAAGAAAUCCAAUGUUUUGAAACACCACAAACAAGGAAAUCAAAGCUGCAGUUAGUCGUUUGAACUGGUUUCCAGACAAAUUCAAGGGACGGGAUGGUGGGAGAUCUCAACGAAUUUCAACCGACCUAAUUGAGAAAGCAUAAAAAUAAAACAUGAAACCAAAUAUAAAUAGUUUUGUACUUAUUUGGUACAAGAUCCCAUAUUACAUUUAUUUGUACCCCGGGGGGGUUGGAUGGCUGAAUGGUUAGCGUGCGCGCGCUGUAUUAUAAAGCCUGUCAUUGAGUCGACUGGCGUGGUUUCGAAUCCCCUGUUGUACGUGACAAGGAGUAGGGUUGCCUGUCCAACCUCGUGGGUUUUCUCCGGGUCCUCCUGUUUCCUCCCACUGCAAGCGAAUUAUUGAAAUAAAAUAAAACCAUAUGUUAGUCCCGAAAUGACCUAGUUUGUGUCGAGUGGACGUUAAACCCCAUUUCUCUCUCUCUCUUUAUUUGUACCCCACAUGAGUCCCAUAUAGUAACCAUAUGGCAUUUCUUAACAUGGCCAUAUGGGUCCCAUGCAAGCCCCAUAUUACAUUUAUUUGCACCCCACAUGAGUCCAAUAUAGUACCUAUAUUACAUUUCUAAACAAUGCUGUAC